AGGACGAACGCUGGCGGCGUGCCUAAUACAUGCAAGUCGAGCGAGCUUGCCUAGAUGAAUUUGGUGCUUGCACCAGAUGAAACUAGAUACAAGCGAGCGGCGGACGGGUGAGUAACACGUGGGUAACCUGCCCAAGAGACUGGGAUAACACCUGGAAACAGAUGCUAAUACCGGAUAACAACACUAGACGCAUGUCUAGAGUUUAAAAGAUGGUUCUGCUAUCACUCUUGGAUGGACCUGCGGUGCAUUAGCUAGUUGGUAAGGCAACGGCUUACCAAGGCAAUGAUGCAUAGCCGAGUUGAGAGACUGAUCGGCCACAUUGGGACUGAGACACGGCCCAAACUCCUACGGGAGGCAGCAGUAGGGAAUCUUCCACAAUGGACGCAAGUCUGAUGGAGCAACGCCGCGUGAGUGAAGAAGGGUUUCGGCUCGUAAAGCUCUGUUGGUAGUGAAGAAAGAUAGAGGUAGUAACUGGCCUUUAUUUGACGGUAAUUACUUAGAAAGUCACGGCUAACUACGUGCCAGCAGCCGCGGUAAUACGUAGGUGGCAAGCGUUGUCCGGAUUUAUUGGGCGUAAAGCGAGUGCAGGCGGUUCAAUAAGUCUGAUGUGAAAGCCUUCGGCUCAACCGGAGAAUUGCAUCAGAAACUGUUGAACUUGAGUGCAGAAGAGGAGAGUGGAACUCCAUGUGUAGCGGUGGAAUGCGUAGAUAUAUGGAAGAACACCAGUGGCGAAGGCGGCUCUCUGGUCUGCAACUGACGCUGAGGCUCGAAAGCAUGGGUAGCGAACAGGAUUAGAUACCCUGGUAGUCCAUGCCGUAAACGAUGAGUGCUAAGUGUUGGGAGGUUUCCGCCUCUCAGUGCUGCAGCUAACGCAUUAAGCACUCCGCCUGGGGAGUACGACCGCAAGGUUGAAACUCAAAGGAAUUGACGGGGGCCCGCACAAGCGGUGGAGCAUGUGGUUUAAUUCGAAGCAACGCGAAGAACCUUACCAGGUCUUGACAUCCAGUGCAAACCUAGAGGAUUAGGAGUUCCCUUCGGGGACGCUGAGACAGGUGGUGCAUGGCU
rnacentral:rRNA from 1 species